rnacentral:misc_RNA from 1 species
AUUCAGAUCGAAAGGUAAGGGCUUUCUGCCGUACAAGGACGAGGAUGAUGCAAUUUCUCUAUCGUCAACCACCGAUGAAGAUGAAUCACAAUCGCUGUGACAAUCCUCAGGUACCAUCGGUGGUGUCCGGUGAUGGUUUUUCCUGGGCGCUGUCGCUGACAACAGAAGCCCAGACUUUUUUGUUGCCGUAGUUGUUUGCUGAGGAGGCGGCCUGGG